UGAGUUUGAGUAAACUCCAGGAGUUGGUGAUGGACAGGGAGGCCUGGUGUGCUGUAGUCCAUGGGGUUACAGAGUCGGACAAGGCUAGCAACUGAACAGAAACAUGGGGACAGGAUCAUAAACAAGCAGACUGCCACCACGAGGGACAAUUACAUAAAUCGCACUCCCACACACUGGCAACUGUGCAGCUGAGUGCAGAGAGGGAGCCUGUUGGUGUGUGAGGGAUACUGUCCAUACAUAAUGGCCUGCUUCAGGAAACCCUGCCCCUCUGCCUUUGCCCAGGACCUGUCCACCUGUGGGUGGCUACAGGAAGGGAGCAAGUAACACGUCUCCGCCUGAGGCUGGCCAUUCCAGGAGAUAUUUUCCAGAUUAAAGGCCUUUUCACUUUAUUUCCUCACCUCCCAGCUCUGUGUUCUAUAAAAGACACUGGCAUCCAGACCCUGAAAAGAUGGUUUAUUCGAGUUAUUAGUCUGUUAUCUUCUCAGUCUGCCGGCUUUCCAAGUAAAGUUGUAUUCCUUGCCUCAGCACCUUGCCUCUGAUUUAUUGGCCUGUUGUGAGGCAAGCAGAGUGAGCUUGGACUUGGUAACAAUCCCACAUGCCUUGCAGUCAAAAAAUCAAAACAUAAAAUGGAAGCAGUAUUGUAACAAAUUCAAUAAAGACUCUGAAAAUGGACCAUAUCAAAAAGAUCUGAAACCAAAAA